GAUGAACGCUGGCGGCGUGCCUAAUACAUGCAAGUCGAGCGAACAGACGAGGAGCUUGCUCCACUGACGAUAGCGGCGGACGGGUGAGUAACACGUGGGUAACCUACCUAUAAGACUGGGAUAACUUCGGGAAACCGGAGCUAAUACAGGAUCAUAUAUUGAACCGCAUGGUUCAAUAGUGAAUGACGGUUUUGCUGGCACUUAUAGAUGGCUCCGCGCCGCAUCAGCUAGUUGGUAGGGUAGCGGCUUACCAAGGCAACGAUGCGUAGCCGACCUGAGAGGGGGGUCGGUCCCACACGAUCGUAGUCACGCACGGGCCUGCCUCGGGCGGCAGCAAGCGGUAAGCUACCGUAGAGAGCGAAUGCUUGACUGAUCCACGCCACGUGAGUGAUGAACUACGGCGGUUCGUAUUGCACUGUACUUGUAAAGAACGAAUGUGCAAGUAACGAUGCACGUCUUGACGGUACCUAAUCAGAAAGCCCCGGCUAACUACGUG
rnacentral:rRNA from 1 species